UGAAUACGAGACGCUACGGCGUCGAAGCAGUCUAUGUCAUACUUCCAAGAAAAGCUCGCAAUGUCAUAAACAAAUAAUGCCUGUACCAUAACCGACACAGGUGGGUAGGUAGAGUAUACUAAGGGGCGCGAGAUAACUCUCUCUAAGGAACUCGGCAAAAUGACUCCGUAACUUCGGGAGAAGGAGUGCCUUAUUUAUAAGGUUGCAAUAACAAGAUCCAAGCAACUGUUUAUCAAAAACACAGGUCUCCGCUAAGUCGUAAGACGAUGUAUGGGGGCUGACGCCUGCCCAGUGCCAGAAGGUUAAAGAAGUUGGUUAGCACUCGCGAAGCUGAUAACUGAAGCCCUGGUGAACGGCGGCCGUAACUAUAACGGUCCUAAGGUAGCGAAAUUCCUUGUCGGGUAAGUUCCGACCCGCACGAAAGGCGUAAUGAUUUGGAUACUGUCUCGGAGAGGGGCUCGGUGAAAUAGACUUGUCUGUGAAGAUGCGGACUACCUGCACCUGGACAGAAAGACCCUAUGAAGCUUUACUGUAACUUGAAAUUGAAAUUGGACUUUAUUUGCGCAGCAUAGGUGGGAGGCGUUAAGAGUAUUCUUGCGGGAAUAUUGGAGCCAUCAGUGAGAUACCACUCUUGUAAUGUUAGAUUUCUAACUUUGGAUCAUUAUCUGGUCAAAGAACAGUUUCAGGCGGGCAGUUUGACUGGGGCGGUCGCCUCCCAAAUGGUAACGGAGGCGUACAAAGGUUUCCUCUGAACGGGUAGAAAUCGUAUCUAGAGUGUAAAGGCAUAAGGAAGCUUGACUGUGAGACCUACAAGUCGAGCAGGGACGAAAGUCGGUCUUAGUGAUCUGACGGUGCUGAGUGGAAAGGCCGUCACUCAACGGAUAAAAGUUACUCUAAGGAUAACAGGCUGAUCUCCCCCAAGAGUUCACAUCGACGGGGAGGUUUGGCACCUCGAUGUCGGCUCAUCGCAUCCUGGGGCGGUAGUACGUCCCAAGGGUUGGGCUGUUCGCCCAUGAAAGCGGUACGCGAGCUGGGUUCAGAACGUCGUGAGACAGUUCGGUCCAUAUCCGGUGUAGGCGUUAGAAUAUUGAGAGGAGCCUUCUUUAGUACGAGAGGACCGAGAAGGACAUACCUCUGGUGUACCAGUUAUCGUGCCAACGGUAAACGCUGGGUAGUUAUGUAUGGAGAGGAUAACCGCUGAAAGCAUCUAAGUGGGAAGCCCACCUCAAGAUAAG
rnacentral:rRNA from 1 species